UACGAAGGGGGCUAGCGUUGUUCGGAAUUACUGGGCGUAAAGCGCGCGCAGGCGGUUUUACAAGUCAGUGGUGAAAGCCCGGAGCUCAACUCCGGAAAUGCCAUUGAAACUGCAAAACUUGAGUACGAGAGAGGUGAGUGGAAUUCCCAGUGUAGAGGUGAAAUUCGUAGAUAUUCGCAAGAACACCAGUGGCGAAGGCGGCUCACUGGCUCGGUACUGACGCUGAGGCUCGAAAUCGUGGGGAGCAAACAGG
rnacentral:rRNA from 1 species